UUUUCCUCUUUCAUCUAGAAACUCUUCCAGCCGUUGGGCCAGGUGGACUUCUGUGCUGUCUGGUUUUAUGCUGAGUUAACACAAGCUAGAGCCUUCUGAGAGAAGGGAACUUGAGUUGAGAAAAUGCCUCCGUGAGCUCUGGCUUAGCCUCGGUGGGUGGGGCCACCCUGGCCUUGCGGUCCUGGGUGCAUGCGUGAGAAAGCAGGCUGAGGAGGACAGAAAGCCGCGUCCAUCCUGCUCAGCACUUGCUUCCAGGACCCGUCACUGCCUCACUGCCUCUGAUGUCUCACUGAACUUCGAUGAGGCAGUGGAAGCCAAACAAGCCCCCUCCUCUUCAGUGGCUUUCAGUAACAUUGUUUCAUCAUAGCAAUCGUAAUCCUACCUAAGACAGCUUCUUGGAAACCCUGGUGCCUGGUGGAGAAAUUCUCAGUUGGCCCCCUAAAGAUGGUUUGAAUAUGCUCAGCGCAGGGGGUGGCACUAUUAGAAGGUGUGGCCCUGGUGGAGUAGGUGUGGCCUUAUUGGAGUAGGUGUGUCACUGUGGAUGUGGGAAAUAAGACCCUCAUCCUGGCUGCCUAGAAGCCAGUAUCUGUUAGCAGCCUUCAGAAGAUGUAUGUAUUGGCUGGUUUUGUGAGUCAACUUGACACAGGCUGGAGUUAUCACAGAGAAGGGAGCCUCCCUUGAGGAAAUGCCUCCAUGAGAUCCAGCUGUGGAGCAUUUUCUCAAUUAGUGAUCAGGGGUGGGAGGGCCCCUUGUGGGUGGUGCCAUCUCUGGGCUGGUAGUCUUGGGUUCUAUAAGAGAGCAGGCUGAGCAAGCCAGGGAAGCAAGCCAGCAAAUAACAUCCCUCCAUGGCCUCUGCAUCAGCUCCUGCUUCCUGACCUGCUUGAGUUCCAGUCCUGACCUCCUUUGGUGACGAACAGCAAUGUGGAAAUGAAUAGAGACCUUGACUAAGACAAUGUGAAACUCUCAGCUCCUCCUGCGCCAUGACUGUCUGGAUGCUGCCCUGCUUCCCACCAUGAUGAUAAUGGACUGAACCUCUGACCCUGUAAGCCAGCUCCCAAUAAAUGUCCUUAUAAGA